CUAGCUUCCUCGCACAGGCGUUCUCUGCUAUGUCCGAUUGUCACUUACAUAAUGUGUCUGCCGCCCAGAGUCAAUCGAAUUCCUUUCAGUUCCUGGUCUCGCGUUCUUAAAGGGCUCCUGGCAAGCACAAGAACAUUUUUCUUCCACUUGCACCAGCAGAAUAGACUAAACUCAAUGUCGUUAUCUUCAUGCUAUUUAGAAACACUUGUAUCAAGUCUUCUUUCUAUAUAUACAAAGCACAACUAAUGUCUCCACGCUUUAAUUCAUUUACUGCAAAGACACCAGAGACAUUUCUAUUAAACACUACACAUCUCCAAACAGAAUUCUAUGCAAUGCAAUUCAUGUAUAACUCACUAUUACAAUAAACUUUAUAAUCUUAAAGUGACUUGUCAUUGUGUAUCAACGAAUACAGUAAUGGCGUCUGUUUUCCACCACGGCUAUCAACAUCUACCGUCGACAUGGUCAUCUUCAACCGACAAACAUGGAGACAACCUUUGACGAACUAAUAACCAACGGACUACGUUAAGGCGGUGGUAUGAAGAAACUGCCACACUGAUGACCUUCAGCGAACCAUUCUAUCAAUACAGCAAACCCCAUUCUUCACCGAAGCGGUGAAACCAUAAUCUCUUCGCUACAACCUGUUACACGAGAUGUUGUUUCUGUGUAAACAUUAAACGCAGUCCCAGACGUUCCGCAUUUUCGAAAUAUAAAACUGAUAUUUGUUCUUAAUUACAUUGCUCUUGUUUAAAGAUAGGAGGCGAUUAAACUUCUCAAAGAAUACAUCUCUUUUGUUCUAUAUGGAAAAACUGAUAUUUUAUAAUCGUUUUCUCGUUACAUCUCGUUAUAUCUACUCCUCGUUGAGUUAAUACAUCAGGUGGAAUUUUGUUUUUGUACACUAAAUACAUUUAUUUUGGUUGGUCUACCCUAAUACACUUAUUUCCCCCCAUCUAAUCUACCUAAUUAUUUAGUCCAAAGAGAAGAGGUGAUGUCCAUAACGUCUACAUUCGCCUGACGAUGUGGAUCUUGAUUUUAGAAGAUAAAAUGAGGACACAAAAUGUAGUAGUCGUGCAAGUCGACUGUUAAUUACGCGAAUUAGUAGAUAAGAGAGAGUAGUAGUAGUGGUAGUAAGAAAGAGAAACGAGAGAAGAAUUUGCGACUCGCUCUCCUUCAAAUGCCAUAAAUAAUACGACUAUAGGACGGGGUACAAAUACUUCCUGCUUUCCGUGAGGUAUAUGACUCCAGGCGACAGCUAUUCUUAUAUAUAAGCUUGCUUUAUGGGUCACUGUCGCUUGAUGUUAGCUGCGUGUCAUUCCAUAACGAAGCAAGAGAAUAAAGAAUUGAAAUAAAUUCAUUUGUUAUUCAGGUAACUACAAUAUCUAGAUUUAAACACGGAAGUUUUCUAGGCAGUCAACAUAGGCAUAUGGUCCCGGGGACCAAGAAUCCUGGAAAGUCUCAGUAAUGUCUCAUGUGUCAAGAACCUGGAGGGUCUCAGGGAUACGGUCCUGGGGGCCAAAUGCUGAGUCUCAGGGAUAAGGUCUCGGGGACCAAAUAUGUCGAGCGUCUCAGGGACAUGGGGUUAGUGAGAAAGAGAGACUGAGUGGGCUGGGUAGAGGGGACCGGGAACUAUGAAUUGUAUAAGGGUGAAAAUGGAGAGAUUGGUUUGAAAGAGAUAGAGAGAUGAGGGGAGUGAGGAGCUAAAGAACUUGAGUGGACAUGUGUCUGUGAAAGAAUGAUGAGGGGGAGGCCAGAGAAAGAGAGAGAGAGGAAGUUGAGAGGGUGUGUGAGGCAGCAGAGAAGCUGUGGGGAGUUAAUAGAAUGUUCGGUGUUGAAUUUAGGGUCCAUAAAUCGUUCGUGCGUUUGUCACCAAAAUAAAAACAAAAUAAAAGGGUUAUAGGUGUAAAAACGUAUAUUAAAUGAAUAUGGAAACAAACAUUAGCACCAACGAGAGGGCUUUCAGAAAAUUCACAUGAUCCGACUUUUUCCCUCAUAACUUUUAGGAAAAUAGACAGAUUUUAAUGAAAUUUUAUAUAAAUACCUUUCAAAAGGCAUAGAAUAUGAUUAUAAUGAAAUUAGUGGGUGAAAGUUUUUCCAAGUGGGUAGGCAGAAGACUUUUGAAGAGAAAGAAAUUCAUAAACUAUUUUUUUGCUUGAGUGAAAUGGAAAAAAGUUUGAAAAAUAAUUUUUUAGAUUCAUUUAUAUAUAUUAUAUAUAUAUAUACACACACACACACACAGUGUAUCACACUAGUAUUACUUGGGCCAGUGAUGACAGAUCAAAGAUAUACAUACAAGAGACUGAACAUUCAUUUUAUACCAGCACUCUUUAAAUCAUUGCUACAGUUGAUCAUACAGAUUGCUUAUUUAAAUGGGAUAAUUUUGAAGGUUGUGAGCCAAUAGUAGGCUGCUAUUAUGGGGUCAAUGAAAGUACCAUAUGCUACAUAAAGAACAAGGUAGCGAUCAGGACUACCGUAGCAGUAAGUUUCUGUGAAAGUGCCAAAAAGAUGAGGAUAGUGAGAAAUGAGCACUUUGUCAGGAUGGAAUCUGCCUUGGCAUUGUGAAUCAGUUGACUGCAAGAAGAAAAACAUCCUCUGCGAGAAAGUGCAGAAAUUAUACCAGCAGUUUGACAGGAGAUGGAGCUGAAGGCACCUAAGUAAUGCAACCAAGACCAUCGACAGCACCGAUGCCCAAAGAUUUUCAAGCCAGCAUGGGAUGGUUUGACUGUUUCAAGAAACAGUUUAAAAUAAAGUGUGAUUGCCUGUAUGAAGAGACAGCAUCAGUUGACAAAGAAGCCGCCGAGAAGUACCUGGAGACCUUUAGGCAGACCAUUGAGAACAAGGGAUACAAGCUGUAACAGGUUUUCAAUUUGGACAAAACUGGCUUGUUCUGGAAGAAGAUGCCUUCCAGAACAUACAUCAUGAAGGACGAAGCCAGAGUCCCAGGAUUUAAGGCACAGAAGGACAAAGUGACGCUAAUUAUGGGUGGCAAUGCUGUUGGCUUUAUGAUGAAACCGGGACUUAUCUACAAGUUCGCAAACCUUCAAAAAUAAGAAUAAAAACCUGCUGCCUGUCAGGUUGUGCCAGACACAACCCAAAGGCCUGGAUUACCAAAAGUCUAACUCUGAAUUGGUUCCAUCAAUAAUUCAUCCCUCAAGCCAAGGAAUACCUCCAAAGCGUAAGCAUGGAAUUCAUGAUGUUGCUUGUGAAGGAUAAUGCUGAUGGUCACUCUUUGUAUUUGUAUCAUCAGGGUGUUCAAGUUGAGUUUGUCUCUGUCAGCACCACCUCCUUCAUCAAGCCUAUGGAUCAAGGUGUGAUCUGUGCCUUCAAGACACUUUACGCUCAGAACUCUCUCCAACACCUUGUGGACAUAAUAGAUUCGGACGAGAAUUUCAAGUUAAAGGAGUACGGGCGUAACUUCACGAUCGCAACAUGACUGUCACUCAUCCAUGCUGCUCUUAGAGAUGAAAAAGGAAACCCACAUCGCAUGCUGGAAGCAGGAAUGCCUGAGUGUGUCCAGGACUAUGAGAGCUUCUCACCUGAAGAUAUUCAGCAUGAGACUGUUAACGACACAGUGAAACUGGCAAUGGUUUUGAUGAUGUCAUGCAGGAAGAGGUCAACGAUAUGUUGGAGUUAACGAAGUCUGCCAGCAAAGUGGAGGCAGAAGCAUCAGAUCCAGAGGAAGAGGAGGAUGUGGUGGGCCUGGCAAUCAAACAUCUGUCUGACCUUUUAAGGACAGCAAAGAAAUUGCAAGGGAAGGCUGAAACAGGGGAUCCUUAUAUGGUUCGAUCUCUCCAAUUUGAAAAUGUCAUCGAUGCUGCUAUGCAGACAUAUAAAACACUCUUCACCACCUUGAAGAAACGACGACACCAACUUCCCAUGACAAUGUUCCUCAUGCUCACCAAGAAAGCCUUGCAUGAAGAUACAACAUCCCCUAAAACAUCUCAAGAAGGGAUGUCACCAGAAGAGCUUUAAAUGUUUGCUGUGCAGUAAUUACCUUUAUUAUUUUCAUCAUUAUCGUCUUAAAUCAAUAUCAUUAUUGUGUCUGCUAUAAGAGAAAGAUCAAUAGUAUAUAACUAUUCCCAGGGACAACCGGUCUUGAAAUCUUGUGUUACGGCCUGGGAGACAAUAACGCACAGGAGUGUUUUGAGAACUGAACCCUGGUGAACCCCUACCGUUUAUGAUUCUAGCUCCGUACCAAAGUAAUGCUCUUACUUAUUCCAUCCAAUCAAUUUCGAGCCACAACACCAAUCUCAGUCUUCAGAAAUAUUCUUUACUUGGCUGUUCUUUCAUAUCCUUCUCCAUGGUUGGACUCUGAUAUACCAAGAGUGAAACAAGGGUGUCAUGUAUGUUAAAGGUAAAAUGGACGACAAGGACCAUAGAAACAUUGGAAACAACUGUUUAAGAGAUAGAGAGAGACAAAUGAAUGUUACAAACCUUUGAUUGAGACAUAUCCCAGACUGGAGUUAUAAAAGGCAGUGCAGAGUCGACCCCGGAAGGACUAAAGAACACAAGAUAUUCUGGUUGACCUUUCUGUAAAAGAAAUAUGAAAAAUAAAUAAAUAUAUCUAUUAAAUCUAAAACAA